rnacentral:rRNA from 1 species
AGAGUUUGAUCCUGGCUCAGAACGAACGCUGGCGGCGUGCCUAACACAUGCAAGUCGAACGGGAUUGAGGGGCUUGCUCCUCAAUUUAGUGGCGCACGGGUGAGUAACGCGUAGAUAAUCUGCCUGACGAUCUGGGAUAACACUUCGAAAGGGGUGCUAAUACCGGAUAAGCCCACGGAGACUUUGGUCUUUGCGGGAAA